UGGAUUCUUCUUGUUUCCAAGGCUCCUUAAGAUUUCUACAAGCCACGUUUCCAUCUUUUCCAUCUAUCUUUUUUAUUUUCUUCUUUAUUAUUCUAAUAUUUGAUUUAUUUUUCUGUUUUAUUUAUCUUAGUUAUAUAUUUUAAUUGCUUUCUUUAAUUUUUUUUAUCUGACUUGGAUUCGUUUACAUUUCAGGUUAUGUCAAAAUUCAAG
rnacentral:lncRNA from 1 species